UCAAAGGUACGCCGGGGAUAACAGGCUGAUGACUCCCAAGAGCUCUUAUCGACGGAGUCGUUUGGCACCUCGAUGUCNNCUCAUCACAUCCUGGGGUUGAAGAAGGUCCCAAGGGUUCGGUUGUUCGCCGAUGAAAGUGGUACGUGAGUUGGGUUAAGAAUGUCGUGAGACAGUUCGGUUCCCAUCUACCGUUGGUGUUAAAGGGAGAA
rnacentral:ncRNA from 1 species